rnacentral:pre_miRNA from 1 species
GAAAUACUCCCUCCGUUCGGAAUUACUUGUCGCAGAAAUGGAUGUAUCUAGACGUAUUUUAGUUCUAGAUACAUCCAUUUUCGCGACAAGUAAUUCCGAACGGAGGGAGUAAUAG